UAGAAUAUAUUAUAAUAAAUUAUUCCUUGUUUACACCGAGGAGAUAGUACUUGAGUGCUUAUUCUAA
rnacentral:tRNA from 1 species